UAUAUCUACCGUCUUUUUGAUAGCAAUAAAGAUGCGAUAUUUGUUGCAUUAAAUUUUUACGAAUGAACGCGAUUUUAUACGGCUAUACAGGAUUUAUCGCUUCCUUUCUUCACAAGUGUUACAUUGUUGUGACAAGGAAGGAGUCACCUGCACACACUGUUGUGGAAAUAAUUCCACAUAAACCUGAAAGGGAAGACAUGGCCACCUCAAGUACAUCAUCAGGGAAUGAGGAACUCGGCAAAGACUUUAGUGAGCAAACUGUAGCCUCAGAACUGACGUCCAUCUAAACAAAGAAAAUUAGAAGCGUUACAAGAACUGUGUCAAGAUACUGAGUUAGAUCAGGAUGUAAACAGCAUUGCCUGCAGGCAAAACUGUCGAUGAAGGUAUUCCUUUAGAAGACGAUGAAGUGCGAUGGCUUAUUGUUGGAGUAUGUUUACACAAAAUUAUCUCCCCAACUUUGAGAAACUAUGUUCCUCAAACCAUGCAGAGACUAUAUGCAAACUUGAAGCUUUCAGACAGCAUUGACACACAGACCUUUGCACAUUACCUCCGGAGAUACACUCCAACAAAUAAAGAAUUAAACUAUGAAGCUAUCAACAACAAUUCUACCGGUUCCGAAGAUACGAGGUAGGCGAGACAUACAGAACUAUGAUUACAGAGUACAUGAUGAGGUGGAGCUCUCUAAGCUGUUCUUGCAGACCCACAUGGCACAGUACACAGGUUUUGAUGACACAUGCGAUUCCUCAGCCCUUCUCGGCAUUAUUAUAAAUGUUGACACAUUUCCUGCCGCUUUACGUUCUGCGGCCGAGACGGUAUGUUAUUUUAUAAUAUUCUGAAAGGGACAUUGCUAAAGAUUUCAGUUUGUUUUAGUGAUGUAGAUAAAAAGUAACACAAUCAUUAUGAAAUAAGAACUCGGCAAAUAAUGUGUCUUAUGAUUUUUGAGAAUUUACACAGGUCAGGGACUGAACUACAUUUGUGUACCAGAUAACUUUGUCCACUGGAUAAGCUGUUAAGGUCCAAUCUACGCUUAUUACAUUAUCGGAAGGACCGCCUCGGUAGCCUAUACCGUCCGCUUCGAGUGCGGGAGGUCAUGGGACACCUCACUCAAAUUAUUAUAUUUUUACUUUGAAUCCACCGAUUUUUAUCAUUCAUAUGGCAUUUUGUUCCCAAUAAAUUGCUCUAUAAUGUGCUGAAAACCGCAUUAAAACAUAAUCCACCGGUUACGGAACUACCCAAGGAGUAUCAUUAUUUAUUGAACGCCCCUCGUACCUUUGUGGCGAUGGAUUCCGUCAGGAAUGUGCCGAGAGUGAUAAAUACAUAUAGUUGUAGAACUUGCUUCACAAUCGACCUUAAAUAAGUUAGUAUAAACUAAACGGAAAUACAUAAUAA
rnacentral:lncRNA from 1 species